UAAUUAGAGAGUUUGAUCCUGGCUCAGGACGAACGCUGGCGGCGCGCCUAACACAUGCAAGUCGAACGGAGUUUAAAGAGCUUGCUUUUUAAACUUAGUGGCGGACGGGUGAGUAACACGUGAGUAACCUACCUUCCAAAGGGGGAUAACGUCUGGAAACGGACGCUAAUACCGCAUAACACUAUUUGAGGGCAUCCUUAGAUAGUCAAAGGAGCAAUCCGAUGGGAGAUGGACUCGCGGCUGAUUAGAUAGUUGGCGGGGUAGAGGCCCACCAAGUCGACGAUCAGUAGCCGGACUGAGAGGUUGAACGGCCACAUUGGGACUGAGACACGGCCCAGACUCCUACGGGAGGCAGCAGUGGGGGAUAUUGCACAAUGGGGGAAACCCUGAUGCAGC
rnacentral:rRNA from 1 species